rfam:Schistosoma haematobium scaffold948_24, whole genome shotgun sequence.
AUCCAGCUGACGAGUCCCGGAAUGGGACGAAACGCGUUUCCUGGAU